CUUAUCAAGAGCGGCGGAGGGACAGGUCCUGUGAAGCCCGGCAACCUGCACGAAGGACGUGCAAAGGUGCUAAUUCCUGCGGAGCGAUGAGCUUCGAGAGAUGAGG
rnacentral:ncRNA from 1 species